AUGACGAGGCCAUUCCAAGCUGAUUCCCAGUGCGAAGGUGUGCAUACCGUUGCACGGAGGGUGACCACACCGGCGACACGACCUUCUGCUCACCGUACCGCUGCACAGUAUGCCUAUGGUAGAAUCAAAGUGACGAUCGUAGAUAUUGAAAUCAGUGAAGAUCUUGUUAUGCUAUCAGUUGAUGACCGGUGUGGAAUGGAGCUAGAUGAGACUGACCUGGCUGUCUGGCUUAAGUUGGAGGCUGCAACGGAAGAGUUCAUUCAGAAAAAAAUACAGGCUUUAAAGAUGUUUGUGAGUUUUUAG
rnacentral:rRNA from 1 species